CCUACGGGGGGCAGCAGUAGGGAAUAUUGCUCAAUGGGGGAAACCCUGAAGCAGCAACGCCGCGUGGAGGAUGAAGGUUUUCGGAUUGUAAACUCCUUUUGUUAGAGAAGAUAAUGACGGUAUCUAACGAAUAAGCACCGGCUAACUCCGUGCCAGCAGCCGCGGUAAUACGGCGGGUGCAAGCGUUACUCGGAAUCACUGGGCGGAAAGAGCGCGUAGGCGGGAUAGCAAGUCAGAUGUGAAAUCCUAUGGCUUAACCAUAGAACUGCAUUUGAAACUGUUAUUCUAGAGUAUGGGAGAGGUAGGUGGAAUUCUUGGUGUAGGGGUAAAAUCCGUAGAGAUCAAGAGGAAUACUCAUUGCGAAGGCGACCUGCUAGAACAUAACUGACGCUGAUGCGCGAAAGCGUGGGGAGCAAACAGGAUUAGAUACCCCAGUAGUC
rnacentral:rRNA from 1 species